GUGGCAUACAUGCACACAGAUAAACACACACAACAAAAACACACACAGACACACACACACAAUAAUAAUACUAGUAAUAAUAAUAACAAUUUUUAAUAUUAAAGAGAUUUUAUUUUACUUUAAUUAGUGUAUGUACUUGUGCACACACACAUGAGUACAGUGGUCUUGCAGAUCAAAGGCAAUGGAUGGAUCCCUGUGCAGCUGGAGUUAUGGUGGGCUGUGAGCGCCCUGACACGAUUGCUGGGAACCAAACUCAGGUCAUAGAAAUAUCUAGUAAUAAGUUACUGGCCUGAAUGCUAUAAACUUAUCUACUCAAAUAAAAGAGAAGCCCUAAAUGUGUUUAUGUAUGUGCACUAUAUGUGUGCUUUAUGUCAAUGGAGGUCAGAGGAGGGCAUCAGAUCUUUGGAACCAGAGUUACAGAUGGUUGUGAGCCACCAUGUGGGUGCUGAGAACCAAAUGUAGGUCCUCUGUGAGAGCAAGUGCUCUAACCACUGAGACAUCUUUAAAACCAUACUUUAUUUCAUACUCACCAUAAAACAAUUCAAGCUCUCUGGACAGAGAAUAAUGAGAUUUUAAAGCACCUUAUAACUGCAAGACACAUUUGUACAAGAGAUAACACCCUGGA
rnacentral:lncRNA from 1 species